UAAAUGCGAUAAGUAAUGUGAAUUGCAGAAUUCAGUGAAUCAUCGAAUCUUUGAACGCACCUUGCUCUCCUUGGUAUUCCUUGGAGCAUGCCUGUUUGAGUAUCAUGAAAUCUUCAAAGUAAAUCUUUUGUUAACUCAAUUGGUUUCUACUUUGGUAUUGGAGGUCUUUGCAGCUUCACACCUGCUCCUCUUUGUUCAUUAGCUGGAUCUCAGUGUUAUGCUUGGUUCCACUCGGCGUGAUAAGUUAUCUAUCGCUGAGGACACUGUAAAAGGUGGCCAAGGUAAAUGCAGAUGAACCGCUUCUAAUAGUCCAUUGACUUGGACAAUACUUUUAUGAUCUGAUCUCAAAUCAGGUAGGACUACCCGCUGAACUUAAGC
rnacentral:misc_RNA from 1 species